rnacentral:rRNA from 1 species
GACGAACGCUGGCGGCGUGCUUAACACAUGCAAGUCGAACGGUGAAGCGCCUUCCUUUUUGGUGGGUGUGGAUGAGUGGCGAACGGGUGAGUAACACGUGAGUAACCUGCCCCCUUCUUCUGGAUAACCGCAUGAAAGUGUGGCUAAUACGGGAUAUUCUGGGUCUGUCGCAUGAUGGGUCUGGGAAAGAUAUUGUUUCGGUGGGGGAUGGGCUCGCGGCCUAUCAGCUUGUUGGUGGGGUGAUGGCCUACCAAGGCGGUGACGGGUAGCCGGCCUGAGAGGGUGGACGGUCACACUGGGACUGAGACACGGCCCAGACUCCUACGGGAGGCAGCAGUGGGGAAUAGUGCACAAUGGGCGCAAGCCUGAUGCAGCGACGCCGCGUGAGGGAUGGAGGCCUUCGGGUUGUGAACCCCUUUCGCCAGUGAAGCAGGCCUGCCUCGUUUGUGGGUGGGUUGACGGUAGCUGGAGAAGAAGCGCCGGCUAACUACGUG